rnacentral:rRNA from 1 species
UACAUGUGGGGCAAGCGUUGUUCGGAAUUACUGGGCAUAAAGGGUGCGUAGGUGGUCUGUUAAGUCAGUGGUGAAAUCCCCGGGCUCAACCCGGGAACGGCUUGGUAUACUGGGUGCCUUGAGCCAGCUAGGGGCGACCGGAACAAACGGUGGAGCGGUGAAAUGCGUAGAUAUCGUUUGGAACGCCAACGGUGAAAACAGGUCGCUGGGGCUGUGCUGACGCUGAGGAGCGAAAGCGUGGGGAGCGAACAGG